rnacentral:tRNA from 1 species
GAUGGUGUAGCUCAGUGGUAGAGCACAUGCUUAGCAUGCACGAAGUCCUGGGUUCAGUCCCCAGUACCUCCA